UUAGAUGAAGAAGGAACUCGAAAGACAACAGCAGCUGCUGACAUAAGGAUCUAAAGGUCCUGUCCAACUGGAGCAUAACCGUCUUGUUUGUAUUAAACAGAAAAAGGGAGGAAAGAAAAUGAAUCCUAGACGAUCAUCAAAACCCCUAGCCAAUUGAAAUAUCUAUGCCCAUGCAAUUGAGGUUUUUACUUGUGGUUUGGAAUUGACAGCAUCAUUUAAAAGUAAUCAACGUUUAGAAACAUUCUGCUCUGCCAAAGAUGGAAGGAACACUGAACUUCAUGGAAGAAAACAUUCCUCAGCCCUCAAACAAUCCUUGCAUAUCUUCAGAACUGAGACGGAUGGACAAUGCAACCACUGUGAGCUGCUGACAGUUUUCCUGAGGUGAUCUUCCCCUAGCCCUCUUGACAUUAAAAGCAACUAAACUGC